GCUGGGCAUGGUGGUGCACUCUUUGUAGUCCCUGCUGCUGGUAAGGCUGAGGCUGGGGGAUGGUGUGAGCUCAGGAGUUUUGAGCUGCAAUAUAGCUAAAGCCAAUCAGGUGUCUGAACUAAGUCUGGCACCAAUCUGGUGAGCCCCUGAGAGCAGGGGUCCACCAGACCAUGGAAAGAGGAGCUAACCAACCCAUGUCAGAAAACUGAGGCUGGUGAAAGCUUCUGUGUCAAUCAGUAUCAGGAUCAAGCUCAUGAGCAGCUGUUGUACUUCUAGCUUCGAAAGACCUAGUCUUUA
rnacentral:SRP_RNA from 1 species